GACGAACGCUGGCGGCGCGCCUAACACAUGCAAGUCGAGCGAGAACCGGGCCUCCGGGCCCGGGGCCCGCGGCGAACGGGUGAGAAACACGUGGGCACCCUGCCCCCGGCCCUGGGAUCGCCGGGGGAAACCGGGAUAAAUCCGGAAAGGCCUCGGGAGCAUUCGGCCCCCGGAGGAAACGUGGUUACGGCAUCCGGCCGAGGAGGGGCCGGCGGCGGAUUAGCUUGUGGGUGGGGUAAUGGCCCACCAAGGCGACGAUCCGUAGCUGGUCUGAGAGGACGAUCAGCCACACUGGGACUGAGACACGGCCCAGACUCCUACGGGAGGCAGCAGUGGGGAAUCUUGCGCAAUGGGCGAAAGCCUGACGCAGCGACGCCGCGUGCGGGAAGAAGGCCUUCGGGUUGUAAACCGCUUUCAGGAGGGACGAAGCCACUCGGGCGAACAGCCCAGAGGGUGACGGUACCUCCAGAAGAAGCCCCGGCUAACUACGUGCCAGCAGCCGCCGUAA
rnacentral:rRNA from 1 species